UAGGGAAUCUUCGGCAAUGGGGGGAACCCUGACCGAGCAACGCCGCGUGAGUGAAGAAGGUUUUCGGAUCGUAAAGCUCUGUUGUUAAGGAAGAACGAGUGUGAGAAUGGAAAGUUCAUGCUGUGACGGUACUUAACCAGAAAGGGACGGCUAACUACGUGCCAGCAGCCGCGGUAAUACGUAGGUCCCGAGCGUUGUCCGGAUUUAUUGGGCGUAAAGCGAGCGCAGGCGGUUAGAAAAGUCUGAAGUGAAAGGCAGUGGCUCAACCAUUGUAGGCUUUGGAAACUGUUUAACUUGAGUGCAGAAGGGGAGAGUGGAAUUCCAUGUGUAGCGGUGAAAUGCGUAGAUAUAUGGAGGAACACCGGUGGCGAAAGCGGCUCUCUGGUCUGUAACUGACGCGGAGGCUCGAAAGCGUGGGGAGCAAACAGG
rnacentral:rRNA from 1 species